UACGUAGGGACCAAGCGUUGUCCGGAAUCAUUGGGCGUAAAGAGCGUGUAGGCGGCUUGUUAAGUCUUGCGUGAAAUCUCGGGGCUCAACCCCGAGCGGUCGUGAGAAACUGGCAGGCUAGAGUGCGGGAGAGGAGAGUGGAAUUCCUGGUGUAGCGGUGAAAUGCGUAGAUAUCAGGAGGAACACCUGCGGUGUAGACGGCUUACUGGACCAUAACUGACGCUGAGGCACGAAAGCGUGGGUAGCAAACAGG
rnacentral:rRNA from 1 species